UUCCCUGUGGCUCAGUUGGUAGAGCAUUGUGUUUGUAACGCCAGCAUGGUGUGUGCAACGCCAGGGUUGUGGGUUCGAUUCCCACGGGGGGCA
rfam:Salmo salar isolate Sally breed double haploid chromosome ssa18, whole genome shotgun sequence.